rnacentral:sRNA from 1 species
UUUUCGCUAUCAAGCCGUGUACCGAUAC